rnacentral:rRNA from 1 species
UAUGCCCCGAAUAUCCCGGGCUACACGCGAGCUACAAUGGUUGGUACAAUGGGUAUCUACCCCGAAAGGGGACGGGAAUCUCCUAAAACCAAUCUUAGUUCGGAUUGAGGGCUGCAACUCGCCCUCAUGAAGCUGGAAUCCGUAGUAAUCGCGUUUCAACAGAACGCGGUGAAUACGUCCCUGGCUUCCUU